AUUGAACGCUGGCGGCAUGCCUUACACAUGCAAGUCGAACGGUAACAGGCCGCAAGGUGCUGACGAGUGGCGAACGGGUGAGUAAUGCAUCGGAACGUGCCCAGUCGUGGGGGAUAACGCAGCGAAAGCUGCGCUAAUACCGCAUACGAUCUCUGGAUGAAAGCGGGGGACCGAAAGGCCUCGCGCGAUUGGAGCGGCCGAUGUCAGAUUAGGUAGUUGGUGGGGUAAAGGCCCACCAAGCCAACGAUCUGUAGCUGGUCUGAGAGGACGACCAGCCACACUGGGACUGAGACACGGCCCAGACUCCUACGGGAGGCAGCAGUGGGGAAUUUUGGACAAUGGGCGCAAGCCAGAUCCAGCAAGGCCGCGUGCAGGAAGAAGGCCUUCGGGUUGUAAACUGCUUUUGUACGGAACGAAACGGUCCGGGUUAAUACCCUGGGCUAAUGACGGUACCGUAAGAAUAAGCACCGGCUAACUACGUGCCAGCAGCCGCCGUAAUAC
rnacentral:rRNA from 1 species